CUGAUUGCCGGAAGCACAUAUACUAAUUUUGGAACUAUAGAGAGAAGAUUAGCGUGGUCCCUGCGCAAGGACGACAUGCAAAUUUGUGAAGUGUUUAUAUUUUUU
rfam:Ornithorhynchus anatinus chromosome X5, whole genome shotgun sequence.